rnacentral:rRNA from 1 species
UGCAGUCGAACGGUGAAGCAGAGCUUGCUCUGUGGAUCAGUGGCGAACGGGUGAGUAACACGUGAGUAACCUGCCCUUGACUCUGGGAUAAGCGUUGGAAACGACGUCUAAUACCGGAUACGACCCUCAACCGCAUGGUUAGGGGGUGGAAAGAUUUUUUGGUCAAGGAUGGACUCGCGGCCUAUCAGCUUGUUGGUGAGGUAAUGGCUCACCAAGGCGACGACGGGUAGCCGGCCUGAGAGGGUGACCGGCCACACUGGGACUGAGACACGGCCCAGACUCCUACGGGAGGCAGCAGUGGGGAAUAUUGCACAAUGGGCGCAAGCCUGAUGCAGCAACGCCGCGUGAGGGAUGACGGCCUUCGGGUUGUAAACCUCUUUUAGUAGGGAAGAAGCGAAAGUGACGGUACCUGCAGAAAAAGCACCGGCUAACUACGUGCCAGCAGCCGCGGUAAUACGUAGGGUGCAAGCGUUGUCCGGAAUUAUUGGGCGUAAAGAGCUCGUAGGCGGUUUGUCGCGUCUGCUGUGAAAACUGGAGGCUCAACCUCCAGCCUGCAGUGGGUACGGGCAGACUAGAGUGCGGUAGGGGAGAUUGGAAUUCCUGGUGUAGCGGUGGAAUGCGCAGAUAUCAGGAGGAACACCGAUGGCGAAGGCAGAUCUCUGGGCCGUAACUGACGCUGAGGAGCGAAAGCGUGGGGAGCGAACAGGAUUAGAUACCCUGGUAGUCCACGCCGUAAACGUUGGGAACUAGAUGUGGGGACCAUUCCACGGUCUCCGUGUCGCAGCUAACGCAUUAAGUUCCCCGCCUGGGGAGUACGGCCGCAAGGCUAAAACUCAAAGGAAUUGACGGGGGCCCGCACAAGCGGCGGAGCAUGCGGAUUAAUUCGAUGCAACGCGAAGAACCUUACCAAGGCUUGACAUAUACGAGAACGGGCCAGAAAUGGUCAACUCUUUGGACACUCGUAAACAGGUGGUGCAUGGUUGUCGUCAGCUCGUGUCGUGAGAUGUUGGGUUAAGUCCCGCAACGAGCGCAACCCUCGUUCUAUG